CCCCCUUGACCUCCUAAAGUGCUGGGAUUACAGGUGUGAGCCAUGGCGCCCGGCCACCAAGUUCAUUUAAAUUAUCAGCUCUCAUGUGAACUCACAGAGCAAGAACUCAUUUAUUACCAAGGGGAGGGCACCAAGCCAUUCAUGAGGGAUCUGCCCCCAUGACCGAAACACCUCCCACCAGGCGCCACAUUCAACAUUGGGGAUCACAUUUCAACAUGAAAUUUGAAGGGAAAAACAUCCAAACCAUAUCAGGUUGCAUCACUUCACAGUGACCUGGCUGAAGAGAAUGGACAUUUACCAGCUUUACUCCUUCCAGAUGCCAGGGAAGUUGCACUUCUCCCAAACCAUUUGAGGUUGGAUGUUGCUGCACGAGUUGCUUUGGCCAUUAAAACGUAGCAGAAACAAUGUGGGUCACUUCCAUUUUUAAGGGCCAGUGAAUGAUUUGCCUCUUUCUCUCUGGCGUAUGUGUUGAAUGAUCACCUCCUGAGUGCCAGGGAAAGGAGAUCAGGCAGUCCAUGAACAGGUGCACGGAGAUAUGGCAGGGUCUUAGAUUAACCACUCAAAUCACCAUAGACCGCAGGUAUCAAGCCAACAUUCAGAGGUGAAUAUUUUUAGGUGGAGUUUCCUGUCAGUCCAAAAUGCCUUUACGAUGUCUCUUUGAUGGAUCUGACUCAGGACGAUGGACUGAACACCCACAUCCACUACUACCCAUCCCGAAUUUCUUUAAGGUGGAGGAAGUCUCUGAAGAUGAAUUCCAAAACGGAAGAGGAGGGGACUGGAUCCAAGACAUCAGAGACUAGACAGGACCAAGAGCUCUUGAAGGACGGUCUCCAGGAACACAGCAUAGAAAGUGGACUCCACAACUGGAAGAACUUGAAGACAGGAAAAAGGCACAGAAGGAAAGAUUAUAAAUAAACAGUUUUACCCUAGGUAAAACAAAACACUGGAUGAGAAAGCCGUGAACACAUAUGAAUAGAAACAAGAAGUCAAUGGGCCUUAAGGGGGAAAAAAAAGGAUUCUUAGCCAUUGAAAGAAAAAGAGAUUAGAAAAUUUUAGAGGGCUGGUAUUUGUUUCCUAUCUUCCCUCUACCCCUUCCCUCCACACUGUGAAGAAAGGCAUUCAGAAUCCCAGGAUUAAAAAGAAAGAGAGAAAGGAAGGGAGGAAAAAAGGAAAGAAGGAAGGAAAGGAAGGAAGGAAGGAAGGAAGGAAGGAAGGAAGGAAGGAAGGAAGGAAGGAGGGAAGGAAGAAAAGGAAGGAGGGAGGAAAGAAGGGAGAAUGGGCAAAAUAUAUGAUAGGUGAGGUCCAGAAUAUGCAAAUUUGUUGCAUGUUUUCAGUCAUUGGUAGAAUAUGAGAAAAGAGAAUCUGUAUGUGAGCAUUUAAAAUAUACAUUUGAGGCCGGGCGCGGUGGCUCAAGCCUGUAAUCCCAGCACUUUGGGAGGCCGAGGCGGGCGGAUCACGAGGUCAGGAGAUCGAGACCAUCCUGGCUGACACGGUGAAACCCCGUCUCUACUAAAAAAUACAAAAAACUAGCCAGGCGAGGUGGUGGGCGCCUGUAGUCCCAGCUACUGGGGAGGCUGAGGCAGGAGAAUUGCGUGAACCCGGGAGGCGGAGCCUGCAGUGAGCUGAGAUCCGGCCACUGCACUCCAGCCUGGGCGGCAGAGCGAGACUCCGUCUCAAAAAAAAAAAAAAAAAAAAAAAAAAAAAUUUUCCUUUGAAUUUUUAUCAAGGUGAUACAAACCCGUACUUAACAAAAAAAUUAAGCACCACUAAUAAUCAUAUGAUGAUACACAGUGGUCUCUUGCCCCACACCCCCUAUUUUACUUUCUCAUGCCCCAGAGGAAAUCUCUAUUCUUCUAAGUUAUUUUUGACAUUUAUUUCCAUAUUUCCAAAGAACAUUUCUUAUAUUGGUGCUUGUGGAUUUAUUAAUUUUAGACAAUAUGUUUAACUUCCUUUUAUGACAAGUGAGACUUAGCUUUCUUACCUGGUACCUUCCCCAGCAGGGUACAUGCACUGCCUCUGCCACACUGUCCCAACAGUGUGUUUGGGUCCUAAAGUUAACUUAAAUCAUUGGUUUAUCUUAAUAUCAUCGCACCUAUGUAGACAUUGUCCACUCUUGGGCUAAGAGGUGUCUGUUCCAUGUUUACAUUUUCUUUUUCACUUUAAACAUUUUUCCUGAAAUUAUUGACUGUUUUUUUCAUUGCUUUGAUUUCCUUUUUAUCUGAGCUCAUUUCUUCAAUAUGAUCAAUCUGAUAGCCUAUUUUAUAUUUCUUUUGCAAACCCAUCUUGAAUGUGCAUGUCUACCUGCUCCACCCUGCGUUGUCUGCACCCAGGCCUGCUGCACAGCUGUCAUUCAGGAUAUUCUCAGGCUGGAAUAUCCUGAGUGACAGCUAUGUAUGAGGCCUGGAUCAGGCUUUAUUUCCUGGAUCCAAUGCUGUGCUGUAGACAUGUGCUGUAGAAUGUGCCGGUAGACAUGCACAUUCCUUUUAUGACAAGUGAGACUUAGCUUUCUUACCUGCUUGACUUUGCUUUCGGUCUAACAUCAUUUUCGUAGUCUAAAAUAAACAUAAAAUAAACAGCAAGUAAUAAGUCAUCAGAAAAAAAAAUAAAGUGAGAAAUGCCCGUUAAAAUGAUGUAUAACAUAACCAUAUAUAUUUAAGAAUGUAUUCCAAUAUCAAAUGGCAAAUUCCAACAAUGCAGAAAACAUAAUUACUUUUGCACCAACGUAAUAUUUUCAGUGAAAACCUAGUGAUGUCUGAGCAUUGAGUAAUUGAAGAUUGAAACCAAGAAUUUACUGUAAUUAACACAGAAUUCAUGUAAAGGAUAGUAUUAAUUUCUACUAAAACAGAUGCAGUAUAUGGAAGAACACAUAGACAGAAACACAACCGAGUGCUAAAAGAAAAGUGUCUCUGCUAUUGAAACUAGCUAAGGAUUCCACCAACUUACUGUGGGGAGGGAUUGGGGUUAACCUCAGAAUUGUGCCAUGUCUUAAUUAGAGCUUUUAAAAGAUAUAGUCAUAGGAAAUUAACUGCAUAAAUCUUAACUGCACAAAUCAUUCUACAGUGAGAAUUCAUCAUUUUCAAAGAAUUUGUCUUUAUAAAAGUCAAAAUACGACUUUAUAAAGUCGUAAUCGUUAUUUUUCACUGAGUUUUUCUAAGUACUAAAUGUUGCAUUUAUGCAUUAUGUAUAUAGGCUCACAUUAAAUAUAUCUCAUGUAUAUGUGCAGAUUAUUAAAUAUAUAAAAUCACUCAGAAUUUUGAGAUUAUCCUCACUUUAUGCUUUAAGAAACU
ensembl:lncRNA